UUGGGUGUACGGGGCAAUCGCUUUUUACCGAUAUUUAGACAGUCCCGAUUUUAAUCGGUUCAGUUUUUGGUUGGUAGAUGGAGGAAAGUCUGGACUCCUAGCAGGUUGGAUGCCUUAUAAGGUGAUAACUGAGUAAAAUCAGAGAUCAUGCAAAUAAGGGGGGCGUAAGCCCAUGGAAAGUGCCACAGAAAAUAUACCGCCCGGGGUUUUUAACCUCAGGUAAGGGUGAAAACGUGUGGUAAGAGCACACGCACAGUUGCAGUAAUGUAGCUGGUGGGAAAACCCCAUCCGGAGCAAGACAAAGUAAGCGAGUUGGUCACCUGUUCCUUAUACUCGCGGGUAUGUCGCUUAGAUAAAUGGUUGCCGAUUGAAUUUUUAGUAGUCAAUCACAAAAUCCAGCUUACAAGUUGCCCAAAGGA
rnacentral:RNase_P_RNA from 2 species